ACAAGCAGACCUGCGGAUGCUUGUUUUGAUGCUGUACUCACUGUGUAAUAAACCUUUAUAUGCAAUCAAGACGUUGUCAGCAGACUCUCCUUCAUCCUUUUGAUAUCAUCAUCACCAUCUAAUAAACUACAAGUGUUCCAUAGUUUACCAUAGCUUCACUCACCAUGGUUGGCUACUUUAUGAUUUUCUGACAUGGUUUGCAAAGUUGCUUAGUUUUUCAGUCAGCCUCCACCAUAGUUUAUUACAGUACAACAGUUACCACGGUCAAAAUACGUGAAACUGGAGCCGUUCCCCUUUUUUACUUCAUAGAUAAAAACAUUUGAUAGUGUUAGAUCUAGCUGUUUUUAUUAAUCAUGUGAAUAUAAAGAGCAUACCAAAGAUAUAUGCAGUUUGCACACAGAGUUUAUUGUAUGUACGUAGAGAGGCAUUGGCUUAUGAAAACAGGCCAUUCCGUAGGCGAUGUUUUAAGGAGGAAAGUUGAUGGACACCAUGCCACAAACAUAAAAGCGAUAUCUGAUUACUCAUGUAAGAACUUUUUCUGUUGUGCAAAGAGAUAGAUAUGGAAAGAAGAUCAUAUACAACACUAUUUUGCACUACACCCAUACUGGGUCAUGUCAGAUGGAUAAGAGAAAAACAAAACAUUCAGAACGAGCUACACGUGAGGGAGUGCAGGGUUUCUUCCUGUUUAGGGCACUGCCUCUCAUGACUGGUGGAAGCCUGUGGAAGAAAGGAGGGACCAACUUAUCCGCCAGCCAAGGGAGCGCUAAGCCUAAGCCAUGGCGCCUCCCCAACGUUCUUGACCAAUCAGAUAGAUGCACAUUCCCUUUGAAAAGCCUGUGUAGCGCUAAGUCAGACACCUCUUUUCUAGGAAGUUGACUACAGCUAACUGCUUGCAGACUGUGGUUUUCUGAAUAGAAAAAGGUCCAUGUACAUGUUCAAUUUGAUUUUCUGGUUUGUAAUAAAUUGUUAAACUGAGAAAUAACUAAUCUCCUGGACUCUCUUCCCAAAUCAACAAAUGCGCCGACAAAACAUGUGACCCCGACGGGAUCUUGGUGAAAGAGGAGGAUUUGACAGAGUCCGCAACUGAAGAUUUUCAGCGGGACAGAGCCUGAGUUUUUGGACCCCUUACCACUCAAGAGAGCACUCAAAGAAAAAGCCGAGAGAGGAGCUGUGUCUCUCACACAGCCCCCAGAGAGAGGAGAGGAUCACGUCAGUUUCAACUACAGGCUAUCUGCUCAACCUUAACCUGCAGUCUUCACUUCCAGUCCUGUUUGUGGGAAGUCAGGAGUGGCCUUAAACCAUCAUGAAUCAUAAUCAUCAAUAAGCUUGUGGCAACAGUGUGACAGUCAUCUUCCAUCUUCCAUCUUCUUCCACUGAUCUUCCUACUGUAGAGUAAACAUGCAAGAACAAAAAUGUUUAUAUACAUUAUGCUGAAAUGAAUAUUUUCUGCAUCUCAGUUGAAGUAGUUUAUUCCCAGAAGUAUUUUGCGGUCAGAGUCUAGUAAUUUCAGUUACUAAUAAAUACACUUGGACAUCCUUAAUCAGCACAAAACAUUAAAUUUAGAUAGGGAUGGGUGGUCACCACUGGUGGAAAACAGAUGCUUGCUGGCAAUGAAAUGAAACAUAUUUGUAACAUGAUUGCUUAGAAAUACCAUUGAAAUUUACAGUAAAAAUCAGCAUAAGGGAGAAUAAACACUAUACUGAAUGGGUGCAAGACUAUUGCUUUUCCUCUAAGUGUGAAAGUAGACAAUGGGCCCAGUUUUUAUACUGGUACAAAGCCAGCAGUAGUGCAAAACAAUUUCAUCAGAUGGUGGCGUUUUUUUUUUUUUCUGCCUACACUUGUUUAAUAGUAAUUUCUCACCUCUGAGCUGGUGCCAGUUUGGAUGGAAUAGCGCAAUUUUGGUACUUCUGUUAGCAUGAAAUUCCAUUUCACUUCUUAAGGCUUCUCCAGGCUUCCAGUAAGUAAAUGUGCUCAGAUGUUGUUCAGAGGUGUUCACAUUGCUUUUUUUUUUUUCCAUACAACUUUUGUAAUGUUUACUUUUUUUUACAUUUCAAACCCACCUCCUGACAGGAGCUGGAUUAACCGCUCAGCUUGCUCGUCACACAGGUCACUAUGACACCUUGUUGAGAUUUGGGAGGCAUGCACGUUGGCUCACACUAACCCCUUGUAAGUGUAUGCUAGCAAAGAUGUUGACAUGUAUUGGUGCAAAAGCAUAAUUCCAACUUAGUUGCUGCCUUAUUGGAAUGUAUGUCUA